AUUGAACGCUGGCGGUAUGCUUAACACAUGCAAGUCGAACGGUAACAGGCCUUCGGGCGCUGACGAGUGGCGGACGGGUGAGUAACGCGUAGGAAUCUGCCUCAUAGUGGGGGACAACGUGUGGAAACGCACGCUAAUACCGCAUACGCCCUACGGGGGAAAGCGGGGGACCUUCGGGCCUCGCGCUAUGAGAUGAGCCUGCGUUAGAUUAGCUAGUUGGUAGGGUAAAGGCCUACCAAGGCGACGAUCUAUAGCUGGUCUGAGAGGACGAUCAGCCACACUGGGACUGAGACACGGCCCAGACUCCUACGGGAGGCAGCAGUGGGGAAUAUUGGACAAUGGGCGCAAGCCUGAUCCAGCAAUACCGCGUGUGUGAAGGAGGCCCUAGGGUUGUAAAGCACUUUCAAUAGGGAGGAAAACCUGUCGGUCAAUACCCGGCAGCUUGACAUUACCUAUACAAGAAGCACCGGCUAACUCCGUGCCAGCCGCCGCCGUAAAAC
rnacentral:rRNA from 1 species